AAUCAACGCUGGCGGCGUGCCUAACACAUGCAAGUCGAACGCGAGAGGGCUUCGGCCCCGAUUGAGUGGCGAACGGGUGAGUAACGCGUGGGUGACCUACCUUCGAGUGGGGGAGUAACGUCCCGAAGGGACGCUAAUACCGCGUAACAUCCUGCUUUUGAAUGGGUGGAGAUCAAAGCCGGGGAUCGCAAGACCUGGCGCUUGAUGAGGGGCCCGCGUCUGAUUAGCUAGUUGGUGAGGUAACGGCCCACCAAGGCAACGAUCAGUAUCCGGCCUGAGAGGGCGGACGGACACACUGGGACUGAGACACGGCCCAGACUCCUACGGGAGGCAGCAGUGGGGAAUUGUUCGCAAUGGGCGCAAGCCUGACGACGCAACGCCGCGUGGAGGAUGAAGGUCUUCGGAUUGUAAACUCCUGUUGCCCGGGACGAAUGGCUCCGACCUAACACGUCGGAGUGUGACGGUACCGGGUGAGGAACG
rnacentral:rRNA from 1 species